UACGGGGGGGGCAAGCGUUGUUCGGAAUUACUGGGCGUAAAGGGCUCGUAGGUGGCCAACUAAGUCGGACGUGAAAUCCCUCGGCUUAACCGGGGAACUGCGUCUGAUACUGGAUGGCUUGAGUUUGGGAGAGGGAUGCGGAAUUCCAGGUGUAGCGGUGAAAUGCGUAGAUAUCUGGAGGAACACCGGUGGCGAAGGCAGGUCUCUGGGCCAUAACUGACGCUGAGAAGCGAAAGCAUGGGGAGCGAACAGG
rnacentral:rRNA from 1 species